rnacentral:rRNA from 1 species
UGGGGAAUUUUGGACAAUGGGCGAAAGCCUGAUCCAGCAAUGCCGCGUGUGUGAAGAAGGCCUUCGGGUUGUAAAGCACUUUUGUCCGGAAAGAAAUCCUUGGCUCUAAUACAGUCGGGGGAUGACGGUACCGGAAGAAUAAGCACCGGCUAACUACGUGCCAGCAGCCGCGGUAAUACGUAGGGUGCAAGCGUUAAUCGGAAUUACUGGGCGUAAAGCGUGCGCAGGCGGUUUGCUAAGACCGAUGUGAAAUCCCCGGGCUCAACCUGGGAACUGCAUUGGUGACUGGCAGGCUAGAGUAUGGCAGAGGGGGGUAGAAUUCCACUGUAGCAGUGAAAUGCGUAGAGAUGUGGAGGAAUACCGAUGGCGAAGGCAGCCCCCUGGGCCAAUACUGACGCUCAUGCACGAAAGCGUGGGGAGCAAACAGGAUUAGAUACCCUGGUAGUCCACGCCCUAAACGAUGUCAACUAGUUGUUGGGGAUUCAUUUCCUAGUAACGUAGCUAACGCGUGAAGUUGACCGCCUGGGGAGUACGGUCGCAAGAUUAAAACUCAAAUGAAUUGACGGGGUCAUAGCUGUUUCCU